AACGAACGCUGGCGGCAGGCUUAACACAUGCAAGUCGAACGCCCCGCAAGGGGAGUGGCAGACGGGUGAGUAACGCGUGGGAAUCUACCCAGAUCUACGGAACAACAGUUGGAAACGACUGCUAAUACCGUAUACGCCCUACGGGGGAAAGAUUUAUCGGAUUUGGAUGAGCCCGCGUUGGAUUAGCUAGUUGGUGGGGUAAUGGCCUACCAAGGCGACGAUCCAUAGCUGGUCUGAGAGGAUGAUCAGCCACACUGGGACUGAGACACGGCCCAGACUCCUACGGGAGGCAGCAGUGGGGAAUAUUGGACAAUGGGCGCAAGCCUGUUCCAGCCAUGCCGCGUGAGUGAUGAAGGCCUUAGGGUUGUAAAGCUCUUUCAGUAGGGAAGAUAAUGACGGUACCUACAGAAGAAGCCCCGGCUAACUUCGUGCCAGCAGCCGCCGUAACAC
rnacentral:rRNA from 1 species